AACGAACGUUGGCGGCAUGCAUAACACAUGCAAGUCGAACGAGACGUUCGGGUCUAGUGGCGCACGGGUGCGUAACGCAUGGGAACCUGCCCUUAGGUUCGGAAUAACUCCCCGAAAGGGGUGCUAAUACCAGAUAAUGUCUUCGGACCAAAGAUUUAUCGCCUUUGGAUGUGCCCGCGUUGGAUUAGCUAGUUGGUAGGGUAAAAGCCUACCAAGGCGACGGUCCAUAGCUGGUCUGAGAGGAUGAUCAGCCACACUGGGACUGAGACACGGCCCAGACUCCUACGGGAGGCAGCAGUGGGGAAUAUUGGACAAUGGGCGAAAGCCUGAUCCAGCAAUGCCGCGUGAGUGAUGAAGGCCUUAGGGUUGUAAAGCUCUUUUACCCGGGAUGAUAAUGACAGUACCGGGAGAAUAAGCUCCGGCUAACUCCGUG
rnacentral:rRNA from 1 species